rnacentral:lncRNA from 1 species
UGAGAAAAUAUAACAUAUCUGUUUGGGGGAGUGAGAGACUGAUCCCUGCUGUGAGGAAACUUAGAAAGGCAAUAUAUCUGGCACUCCCUGAUUAAGGAAGUGGUGGAGGAGAGCAUUCCCUGCAGGACACAGGAAAGGAAGAGGCCGUCCACAGCCAGGCAACACAGGCAUGAAUACUCCAGGUAUGACCCUUGAACACAAUCAGUUUGGGAGUAGGAAAGGGUCAUGUCAUGCCAAGGUGACUGUGGUGCUGGCUUACUGUGAUGAUGAUGAUUAAGAUGGUGAUGGAGAUGAUGAUGAUGAUAAUGAUGGAAAUGGUAAUGAUGGAGAUGAUGAUGGUGAUGAUAUGAUGAUGGAGGUGAUGAUGAUGAUGGAAACGAUAGUGAUGAUGACUGCGGUGCUGUGCCAUAG